GUACGAUCAUACUUGGCCGUAAGCACCCGUUCUCAGCCGACCACGGAAGUUAAGCGGUUAUAGGCUGUGUUAGUACUUGGCUGGGUGACCGCCUGGGAACUCACAGUGUCGUACU
rnacentral:rRNA from 11 species